AGGGAGUGAGAGAGUCUGACAGGGAGAGAGAGAGAGUGACAGGGAGAGAGAGAGUGAUAGGGAGAGAGAGAGAGUGUGACAGGGAGGGAGAGAGAGAGAGUGUGAUAGGGAGAGAGAGAGAUUGAUAGGGAGAGAGAGAGAGUGAUAGGGAGAGAGAGAGUGUGAUAGGGAGAGAGAGAGUGAUAGGGAGAGAGAGAGUGAUAGGGAGAGAGAGAGUGUGACAGGGAGAGAGAGAGUGUGACAGGGAGAGAGAGAGUGUGAUAGGGAGAGAGAGAGUGUGACAGGGAGAGAGAGAGUGUGACAGGGAGAGAGAGAGUGUGACAGGGAGAGAGAGAGUGUGACAGGGAGAGAGAGAGUGUGACAGGGAGAGAGAGAGUGUGAUAGGGAGAGAGAGUGUGACAGGGAGAGAGAGUGUGAUAGGGAGAGAGAGAGAGUGUGAGAGGGAGAGAGAGAGUGUGAGAGGGAGAGAGAGAGAGUGACAGGGGAGAGAGAGAGAGAGUGUGACAGGGAGAGAGAGAGAGUGUGAUAGGGAGAGAGAGAGAGAGAGUGUGACAGGGAGAGAGAGAGUGUGAGAGAGUGAGAGAGAGAGUGUGACAGGGAGAGAGAGAGAGUGUGACAGGGAGAGAGAGAGUGUGAGAGAGAGAGAGAGUGUGACAGGGAGAGAGAGAGUGUGACAGGGAGAGAGAGAGUGGGACAGGGAGAGAGAGAGAGUGGGACAGGGAGAGAGAGAGUGUGACAGGAGAGAGAGAGUGGGACAGGGAGAGAGAGAGUGGGACAGGGAGAGAGAGAGUGUGACAGGGGAGAGAGAGAGUGUGACAGGGAGAGAGAGAGAGUGUGACAGGGGGAGAGAGAGAGUGUGAUAGGGAGAGAGAGAGUGUGAUAGGGAGAGAGAGAGUGUGACAGGGAGAGAGACAGUGGGACAGGGAGAGAGAGAGUGUGAUAGGGAGAGAGAGAGUGUGAUAGGGAGAGAGAGAGUGUGACAGGGAGAGAGAGA
ensembl:lncRNA